CCGGCGUCCUCCUCCGGGCGGUCAUUUUGGCUUCUCCCCUGUGUUCAUCCGGGCAGAAGUUCCGGAGAGCUGGGUGUGCGCGAGGUGACUUGCAGGAGAAGGACUCAGAGGAGUCGUUGACCCAGCCAUACAGAGCGGGGUCUGAGGCUUGGCGACGCCGCCCGGGGUGCCCCGCACCAGGGCCGGUAUAAGAACCGCCUGCCCGCUCCCGGCCCCGCUCCGCCCACAGGCCCGGAUGGCGGCAGCCACGCUGAGGGACCCGGCUCAGAUACAAGCAGAGGGUUCAAUGCCUUCUCAGCAGUAACUCUCUUCCUGUGAAGCCAGAGCCAUAGGCACCAUCCUGAUCCUGAGGUCUGCACCGCCCA
rnacentral:lncRNA from 1 species